rnacentral:lncRNA from 1 species
GCUGGUUCUCACUAUCAUCUAGGGGAGAGGUAGAGACCGCUGUAUUACCCUCAGCAGGUGUCUCCUCACCGUGAGUCGCAGACCGAUCUAGAGGAUCUGGCUGUGGUUCCUCAGUUGCUUGUCGACCAAUAUGCGCUAUGUCUUCAAAAGAUAGCUUGAGGCCUAGAUGCGCUUGAAUUGCAGCAACAUCCUGAACAACUGAUUUCAGGGAUGUUUGGAUAGAUGUCAAAGUAGCUUCCAUCCUUGCAUUAGACUCUAGUAUUUUGGCGUUGUGUUCCAUUUGAGCUGCCAUAAAUUCCAUCAGUUUUGCAACAUAUGCAGGAG